rnacentral:lncRNA from 1 species
UGAAAAAUAUAAUGCAUUAGUGCUACAUCCCUGUAAUAACAUCUAUAUGACAACCAUAUAGAGAUUUGAACAAUAAAAAUGAAUGAUAAAGGGAUCUACAUGAAGCAAUACAAUGGUGUAGGAUCAUGGAGAAAAGAAAAAUAUCUGGGAACCUCAAUCUUGCAGGCACACAUAGCGUUGGCCUUGUUUCCUGCGGAUCGUCGUUCUGUUAGGAACAUUUGGCUUCAGGCCUUUGGCUCUUCACCUCAAACCAUUUUAUUAAGUAAAUAAUAUGCAAAUAAACCCACAUCGAACCCAUGAGUUGGCGCGGCGAUGGUCGGCCUCGGCUGCGACCUCAUUAAUCUAGCAGGUACAGUUUGGCGAUUACUGGGAGCGGCUUCGGUGGUGGCCCAUCUUCCCAGCCACCAAUGGAGGAAUGCAAGAGGACGACCAGAGAUGGGGAAGCCAUGCUGGGGUAGAGCUCUUGUGCUGGAAAAGGACAAGAAUACAUCAUAUAUUUGUCAUGCUUAUGGUCAUCAAUUUCUUAUACGCACAAGGAUACUUCAAGAGAAAAAAACAUCAUCUGUUAAUUCAUGGAAGUACCUAAGCAAAAUCCCUACUGAUGAUCCACUUCCCGUUUUGAAAAUGGUGAUAACCAAGGUCUAUAUGAAGUACUAAAAUUUCAAUAAGUGUGCUUAGUAAAGGUUAUGCUGACAUAC